CCUACGGGAGGCUGCAGUGAGGAAUAUUGGUCAAUGGACGAGAGUCUGAACCAGCCAAGUAGCGUGAAGGAUGACUGCCCUAUGGGUUGUAAACUUCUUUUAUAAAGGAAUACAACGAGGCACGUGUGCCUUUUUGCAUGUACUUUAUGAAUAAGGAUCGGCUAACUCCGUGCCAGCAGCCGCGGUAAUACGGAGGAUCCGAGCGUUAUCCGGAUUUAUUGGGUUUAAAGGGAGCGUAGAUGGGUUGUUAAGUCAGUUGUGAAAGUUUGCGGCUCAACCGUAAAAUUGCAAUUGAUCCUGGCAGUCUAGAGUACAGUUGAGGGAGGCGGAAUUCGUGGUGUAGCGGUGAAAUGCUUAGAUAUCACGAAGAACCCCGAUUGCGAAGGCAGCUUACUAAACUGUGACUGACAUUGAUGCUCGAAAGUGUGGGUAUCAAACAGGAUUAGAUACCCUUGUAGUC
rnacentral:rRNA from 1 species